rnacentral:rRNA from 1 species
GUCCACGCUGUAAACGAUGAAUACUAGGUGUUCGGGGACUGACCCCCUGCGUGCCGCAGUUAACACAAUAAGUAUUCCACCUGGGGAGUACGAUCGCAAGGUUGAAACUCAAAGGAAUUGACGGGGGCCCGCACAAGCGGUGGAUUAUGUGGUUUAAUUCGAAGCAACGCGAAGAACCUUACCAGGGCUUGACAUCCUACUAACGAAGUAGAGAUACAUCAGGUGCCCUUCGGGGAAAGUAGAGACAGGUGGUGCAUGGUUGUCGU